rnacentral:tRNA from 1 species
GGGGGUGUAGCUCAGUUGGGAGAGCGCAGCGUUCGCAACGCUGAGGUCGGCGGUUCAAUCCCGCUCACCUCCACCA